rnacentral:lncRNA from 1 species
GGCUAGCAUAAGAUUUAACCUUCUCACAUUUUGAGAUGUAAAAUUAGUAAUCAAAUUACUAAUAUCAAGUUUGUCCAACAUAUUUUUUUCAAUAGAAAUCAUAGCUAAUCCAUUCAAUCGCUCUUGUGACAUGGAUGAUCGAAGAUAAGAUUUAAUCAACUUCAACUUUGAAAAACUUCUUUCGGCAGAGGCAACUAUGACAUGAAUAGUCAAUAAUACUCUAUAAGUAAUCCAGGCAUUUGCAUAACAACAAUUCAUUUUCUUAAUGUAAUCCAAUACAUCAAUUGCUCCAAAAAUGUUUGUCGAUAUCGCUUCCCUUAAAACUUUCAACUCAAAAAAUAAUUAUAUUCCAUCAAUAUCAGAAAUCGUAUUAUGCUUCAAGUAAUUUUCAAGUUUAAUGCAAGAACACUUCAAAACAUCAUAUCAAUAGAUUUAAGUCUUUUCAAAUCAAACAAAAAUCCAAAAAUAUCAUCAUAUUUUUGAAAUUGCUCAAAUCUAUUCUGAAGUGAUGAUAGAACUUGAUCCACUAUAUAUAUGAAAUAAUUGAUCUUAAAAGAUUCUUCAGCUGUUUGUGUUAUCUCCUAAGAAGAAAUCUCAUCAAACUGUUUUUUUCUAUGUAUAACUCGUUUUUCACGAAAUAUCGGUUCAAUUUCUAAUUCACUUGCAAUCUCUUUAACAUCAACCAUGGCCGAUUCAAAACCAGAUUCUCUAUAACUUUUGAAAAAUGAAAUGAGGCCUUUUAAAUGGUCUAUAACAACAUCAAUAUGCAUGUCUUCU